UACGUAGGGUGCGAGCGUUGUCCGGAAUUAUUGGGCGUAAGGAGCUCGUAGGCGGCUUGUCGCGUCGGAUGUGAAAGCCCGGGGCUUAACUCCGGGUCUGCAUUCGAUACGGGCAGGCUAGAGUUCGGUAGGGGAGAUCGGAAUUCCUGGUGUAGCGGUGAAAUGCGCAGAUAUCAGGAGGAACACCGGUGGCGAAGGCGGAUCUCUGGGCCGAUACUGACGUGAGGAGCGAAAGCGUGGGGAGCGAACAGG
rnacentral:rRNA from 1 species